UUGAACGCUGGCGGCAUGCCUUACACAUGCAAGUCGAACGGCAGCACGGGAGCAAUCCUGGUGGCGAGUGGCGAACGGGUGAGUAAUAUAUCGGAACGUGCCCGGUCGUGGGGGAUAACGUAGCGAAAGCUACGCUAAUACCGCAUACGAUCUACGGAUGAAAGCGGGGGAUCGCAAGACCUCGCGCGAUUGGAGCGGCCGAUAUCAGAUUAGGUAGUUGGUGAGGUAAAGGCUCACCAAGCCGACGAUCUGUAGCUGGUCUGAGAGGACGACCAGCCACACUGGGACUGAGACACGGCCCAGACUCCUACGGGAGGCAGCAGUGGGGAAUUUUGGACAAUGGGCGCAAGCCUGAUCCAGCAAUGCCGCGUGCAGGAUGAAGGCCUUCGGGUUGUAAACUGCUUUUGUACGGAACGAAACGGUGAGCUCUAAUACAGUUUGCUAAUGACGGUACCGUAAGAAUAAGCACCGGCUAACUACGUG
rnacentral:rRNA from 1 species